rnacentral:rRNA from 1 species
GCUUACGGCCACACUGCCUGGUUCACGCCCGAUCUCGUUUGAUCUCGGAAGCUAAGUUAGGUUGGGCCUGGUUAGUACUUGGAUGGGAGACCGCCUGGGAAUACUAGGUGCUGUAAGCU